GUGUCAGCCGCCGCGGUAAUACAGAGGGUGCGAGCGUUGUUCGGAAUUACUGGGCGUAAAGCGCGCGCAGGCGGCCUUUUAAGUCUACCCGUGAAAUGCCGGGGCUCAACUCCGAGCACCGCGGGGGAUACUGGGAGGCUGGAGACAGGUAGAGGCAAGCGGAAUUCCGGGUGUAGCGGUGGAAUGCGUAGAGAUCCGGAAGAACACCUGAGGCGAAGGCGGCUUGCUGGGCCUGUUCUGACGCUGAGGCGCGAAAGCGUGGGGAGCGAACAGGAUUAGAUACCCGCGUAGUCC
rnacentral:rRNA from 1 species